ensembl:lncRNA novel transcript
UGCAUAGAAAUGGUUCUGGCUCCUGGGAGGAGAACGAAUUGGAGGUCAAGGACAUCUAAAUGAGAAUGAAGUUGGUUGCUCCCUUGAGUGUACCAGGCUGGAUGUACUGAGGCAGAGUUUGGAUCUCUGAAGUCUCCAUCUGGCUUUGUGGGUCUUUAGUGCUGGGAUUAUGCAGUGACACCCCAAAUAUACACAUGCUUCAUCGGAGGCAGAGUCACCUCUGCUGCAUGGCUUUAUUUUAAAGGAAUUUGUCUCUUGGGAGUUUUCAGGAAAAAAUUACCCUUGCAAGCUGGUUUUCUUCAAAAGGCAUUCUUUGCUCAAUGUUCUUUCCUUCUACACAUCACACGAAUUCCUACUUCUUGGCCUUGGUAGUCUACUGUACUCCACUUUAAUUCCUUCCCUAUAUUUCUUCUGCCAUUUUAUCACAGCCUGAUUCUGUUGCUGGGUCCUCUGUGAAGUCUUUUGUAAUAAUUACACCUACAUCAACCUUUCUCUUUUGUAAACUUCUAUUGUCUGUUCCUUAGACUUUUAUUUAUAUUUUUUGAGGUAUAAUUGAUGUAUAAUAAAGUACCUAUUUAAAGUGUACAAAA